rnacentral:rRNA from 1 species
CUACGGGUCGCUCCAGUCAAGAAUCUUCCACAAUGGCCGAAAGGCUGAUGGAGCGACGCCGCGUGACCGAAGAAGCCCUUUGGGGUGUAAAGGUCUUUUAUAAGGGACGAAACAAUGACGGUACCUUAUGAAUAAGGGGCUGCUAAUCACGUGCCAGCAGCAGCGGUAAUACGUGAGCCCCGAGCGUUAUCCGGAUUUAUUGGGCGUAACGAGUCUGUGGGCGGCUUGGUGCGUUCCUUGUUAAAACUCUGGGCUCAACUCAGAGAUCACAGGGAAUACGGCCUCGCUAGAGACCGGAAGAGGCAGGUGGAACUGCCGGUGUAACGGUAAAAUGUGUUAAUAUCGGCAAGAACACCAAAUGCGAAGGCAUUCUGCUGGGACGGAUCUGACGCUGAGAGACGAAAGCGUGGGGAGAGAACGGGAUUAGAUACCCCAGUAGUC